AGUGAACGCUGGCGGUAGGCCUAACACAUGCAAGUCGAACGGCAGCACAGUAAGAGCUUGCUCUUACGGGUGGCGAGUGGCGGACGGGUGAGGAAUACAUCGGAAUCUACUUUUUCGUGGGGGAUAACGUAGGGAAACUUACGCUAAUACCGCAUACGACCUACGGGUCAAAGCAGGGGAUCUUCGGACCUUGCGCGAUUGAAUGAGCCGAUGUCGGAUUAGCUAGUUGGCGGGGUAAAGGCCCACCAAGGCGACGAUCCGUAGCUGGUCUGAGAGGAUGAUCAGCCACACUGGAACUGAGACACGGUCCAGACUCCUACGGGAGGCAGCAGUGGGGAAUAUUGGACAAUGGGCGCAAGCCUGAUCCAGCCAUACCGUGUGGGUGAAGAAGGCCUUCGGGUUGUAAAGCCCUUUUGUUGGGAAAGAAAAGCAGCAGGUUAAUACCCCGCUGUUCUGACGGUACCCAAAGAAUAAGCACCGGCUAACUUCGUG
rnacentral:rRNA from 1 species